UGAUAAUGGUAAGGGCAAUUUCUGAGCAUACUCUUAAAUCUCUCCCAAGAUUGGUAGAGAUUCUCUCUUCUUUCUGCAUAAAACUCAAAAUCUCGCUUCUCAAGAA
rfam:Capsicum annuum cultivar Zunla-1 chromosome 10, whole genome shotgun sequence